rnacentral:lncRNA from 1 species
ACAUAGGUCCUCGGCAGGCGGGAACAAAAAGAGAAAGAAGAAGAUAGAAAGGUUCGGUCCCAGUUGGUCUCGUCUAUGGAUUUUCUUUCCCUAUCCUAUUGUCGAGACGAAUGUGGCCAUACCCAGAGGACUAUCGCAUCAGCAAGACGACUUUCUAGUCAGAUCCUUCCUGCGCUUCGGAUAUGAAGAAUUUGAUCGAUCGAUUUAGGAAAGAUGAAAAAACAAAGGCCCCCUCUUUCUCCAGAACUUGGACUCAAUCCACAUCCCUUGCUUGAACCUUCUAGACCGAACUCAAUUCAAUAAAGUUUCCCCGUCCGAUAGGUGCUAUAUAUAGUGGGCGAUUUACCUAGUAAUCGGCAUUCUAGAAGCAACUUCUUUAUUCUACUCGCUACCGGUUUUGGGCCUUAUUAAUCUACAAUAAUCGAUAAGAAAAUCACUGCCGCUGUCAGCUACAGACCCAGAGUAGGACC